AUAGAGGUAAGUUUUACCUUCCUGUUUCCUUUUUUUCCCAUUUCUUAUUUAAUUUUAUUAUGGGGGGCACCAGGAUAGAAUGGUUUAAUCUUACCAAAAACAGUGUUUUAUUAAAACAGGUUUUGGUGGGAUAAACCAGUUAACUGGGUCAGUUAACCAGCUAAUAUGGAGCAUUAUGGUGCCACUGUCACUAAUUAUAUAAUUGUAGGUGUUAUUUCUCUCUCAGCAUUACAGAGGACUCAGGGCUAACAAUGACAUAGCAUUGGGUGUCACAGGGAACACAUUCUGUUGCUUGCGGAAUUGUACCAAAG